UCACCAUGGUGACAGUGACUGAAGUAUAUAAAAGAUGGCGACUUCAGUAGGCUCUAGUUUACCUGCCAAAUCUUGAUUAAUGGAAAGCAGGAGUUUGAGGUGCAGCAACUGGACCACAAAGCGGACGGGAACUGCUCCAGUGGAAGAUUGGAUCUAAAACCUUCGAAUGACACACUGUUUAUAUAAUAAGUGUGCUGCUCACAUACUUGUCUUCAGAUGGGAAAGACGACAGGCCUUUACAGAUGAAGAUACUGCUUUUUUGGUGAUGGGUGAUGUUUGGUCACCAGUUUUUCUUUUUUUUUUUAAAGAACAUCACAGCUCUUGUCUCACUUGUCUGUCUUAGUUUGAUAUCUUGAGGAAUUUCACAACAGGGGGUAUUCCAAAAGGAUUCACUGAGACAUCUUGUUUUUUCAAACCUGAUGCUUUUCUUAGAGUUUUAAAAGGGGAUUUAUUUGUGGAAGGAAAUUAGGAAUUGUGGAACUUUCUCCUCAAGGAAUAUUUAAAUAAUCAGUCUGCUUUUUCAAAGAGGUCCAGAACUAGGUGCAUUAACAAUUUUAAAAUUGACCCAUAUAUGAGCAUGUGUGAUGAAAGACUUUAUAUUUAUGUUCCAGUUUUGG